GAUGAACGCUGGCGGCGUGCCUAAUACAUGCAAGUCGAACGAGGUGCUUUUGUAGUAAUACGAAAGUAUCCUAGUGGCGAACGGGUGAGUAACGCGUUGGUGACCUACCCUAAAGUGUGGGAUAACAGAUCGAAAGAUCUGUUAAUACCGCAUGUGGUAAUCGGAUUCAGAAACUGAUAACUAAGGCAGCAAUGGGCUUUGGGAGGGGCCUGCGUCCCAUAAGCUAGUUGGGGGGGUAAUGGCUCACAAAGGCGACGACGGGUAGGGGACCUGAGAGGGUGGCCCCCCACAAUGGAACUGAAACACGGUCCAUACACCUACGGGUGGCAGCAGUAGGGAAUAUUGCUCAAUGGGCGAAAGCCUGAAGCAGCAACGCCGCGUGUGCGAUGGAGGCCUUCGGGUCGUAAAGCACUUUUCUGAGGGAUGAGAAAGGACAGUACCUCAGGAAUAAGUCUCGGCUAACUACGUGCCAGCAGCCGCCGUAACAC
rnacentral:rRNA from 1 species